GCAAGAUUAAAACUCAAAGGAAUAGACGGGGACCCACACAAGCAGUGGAUCACGUGGUUUAAUUCGACAAUAAACGGGGAACCUCACCCAGACUUGACAUCCUGAGAAUCUUUGAGAGAUCAGAGAGUGCCUUUACGGGAACUCAGUGACAGGUGCUGCAUGGUUGUCGUCAGCUCGUGCCUUGAGGUGUUCGGUUAGGUCCGUUAACGAGCGCAACCCAUGUCCUUAGUUACUAUGUCUAAGGAGACUGCCUUGGUUAACAAGGAGGAAGGUGUGGAUGACGUCAAAUCAGCAUGGCUUUUACGUCUGGGGCUACACACAUGAUACAAUGGUAUGUACAAAGAGCAGCAAUAUCGCGAGAUGGAGCCAAUCUUCAAAGCAUAUCUCAGUCCGGAUUGGAGUCUGAAACUCGACUCCAUGAAGUUGGAAUUGCUAGUAAUCGUGAA
rnacentral:rRNA from 1 species